GGAGGCGGAUCCUGCAGAUAAACCCGGUUCUGUCUCCGCUGUGACCUUGAGCGUCCGUCGUUAAGCGGAACCUGCGGAGCCGCGUUUCGUGUUACGGCGGGAUAAAGCCGCCAUCUGUUGGGUAAAUAAGGCUCCGCUGGCUGUGAGGUAAUGCACUUUCAUUGAUGUAAUGUGAGAUUCAUCUGGAGGAAACUGCUUGUGAGCGUCAAACGGCAGCGACGCGUUAUGAGGAAGCAGCUGGCCGAGCAGAUGAGGUUCUGCUGAGCUGCAGCGGUUCGGAAACGUCCCGGGUCGUUUUCAGGUUCGGAGUGAUUACAGCUGGAAACUCUGAGCUCCUCCGCCUCAGCAGCGCCUCCUGCAGGCGGAAAUAACGUCAUUACGGCCCCGACAUGCUGACAUCAUCACAGGGUUACAGAAACCCAGUCAGAUGAUUUUUAGGAAAGUUUCUGUUUGGUUCCUGAGUUAAAGACUGAAAGAACCGGAACUCUGCAGAAAGAACCGAACAGAACCGAGUCUGUUAUGAGUCAUCAAAAUAUGAUGAGUCAUUCUGCGGACUUUUAUUUUUAUUUCAGUUUGUGAAUCCUGACAAAAUGAAUCAGGAGAGAAGAACGGGAUAUGGCAAGACAUUUAGAGCAAUAAUGCACACCUAGAAAUUAACUGUAUACGGAAAGACAUUUGUAACUAUAAUCAUGUACAAUAAAGCAAAACAUUUCUAACAAAAAACUGAAAACAUGAACUGAGUAUGGCAAGACCUUUCUCACAUUAUACACCUGUAAAAGAACUGAGUAUGGCAAGACCUUUCUCACAAUAAUUAGGAACUCAGAAGUUCAUGUGUCCCAUGUUGACCUUUGGUCCAAACUGGAUCUUCAACAGAACCAUGAUCCUGAACACAGCAGCAGAGCUAAGACACAAUGACUGAAAAAGACAAGAAUCAAAGUGCUGCAUUGGCCUAGUCAAAGUCCAGAUCUCAUCCUGAAUAUAAUCAACAGCAUUUUCACUAAAGUAUUUUAAAUGAAAAUGAUUUUUGACUCUUCCUGGUUGGAAACGAUUGUUUAAAUGAUCAAAGUUUGGAUCUAAAUGUUUCCAUGACGUCACAGAAGAAGUUUUUCCUCCCAGACCGGCCAAUCAGGACGGAGCUUCGUUAAAUCACCUGAUGAUGUCAUCAGGAUCAUUCGCUCCUUCUGUCCUCUGACUGCCGUCAGAAACACAAACUUCUCUCAUGUUUCCUGUGAAAGCAGGAAAAUGUCAGAGCAGAUGUUUAUCAGAGUCGAGCCGGGCCACAGCAGAACCGGAUCAGAACCGACCCGGAGGAGCCGCUCAGCGUUCAGCAUUCAGCUGUUUCCCCACCAGGGAGCAAACCAGAGAGUGUGUCGGGUCACGCCGGGCUCUCCGUGAGCCCCCGGUCCUCCUCCAGCCUGCAGCAGGAAACGGGUCAUUAAGCUGCGCAGGAAGUCGCCGCUCUGCGCUAAACCGGAUUCCUGGGAGCGAUCCGACACGCGGCGCCAUGACGGCUCCGCAGUGAUGGAUGCGUCUCCUCUAAACGUUUCAUCAGAGCAGCGGGAGGCUGAGCGCCGCCGCAUGCUAACACCAGCCAUCAUCAUCAUCAUCAUCAUCAUCAUCAUCUCUGGGUUUACGUUCAACUCGCCUCAUAUUCUGACAUGAGUUCAUCCUCAGAGUCUGGAGCCGAUAAUCUGCUCAGAUUAUUGAGUUUAUCGGUAAAUUACAGGAGAAGAUGUGAGAAAUGAAUCGUGAUGAUGGAUGGAUGGAUGGAUGGAUGGAUGGAUGGAUGGAUGGAUGGAUGGAUGGAUGGAUGGAUGGAUGGAUGCAGCGCUAAUAUGAGAACAACAGAGAUAAUUAUGGGAUGUUGUGGCUCAUUACAGCUGGUCCAGUUCAAACAGGAAGCAGCACCAACAUUGAUGUUAUCACAUCAGAAAUAAUCUAAUUGAUCAGAAAUAAUCUAAUUGAUCAGAAAUAAUCUAAUUGAUCAGAAAUAAUCUAAAUGAUCAGAAAUAAUCUAAUUGAUCAGAAAUAAUCGGUUUCUGUUGUCAUUGCUGUGAGUUUUUAAGAAAAUUGAUCGUUUUAUGACAAUAAUCUUCCUCUAACUGAAACGAUCCAAUCAGUUGAUCUCCUGGAACCACAAAGCUGCUGUAAAAACAGGAGGUCUCACUUUGACUUGAAUUGUGUUUGUGAUCCAUUUAUAGUUAAAACAUGUUUAUUCUUCAUUCAGUGGAGCAACUAGAGGUGGGAAGUACGGUGGCUCAGAGGGCCAAAUGUUCAGCAAACUCAUGAAUAAUGCAAACUUCAAGACAAACUAACACAAACACCAAAAACCUCAGAACUCGCUCCACCGAACAGCCGUCCUCCAGACCACUAGGGGGAGCUUUUGUGAGUUUUGCCGUUUGCAUCCUUCAUGUUUUUGCAGCGUUUUUAUCCGUUUCCUGCAUGUUAGCAUCGUUAGCCACCAUAAGGCAGAGCAGCCGCAACCUUCAGUCCUCAGAGAAGCGCAGAAAUGAUUCAUCCUGAGAUUCCUGCAGUAGACGGUAAUGUAGCCGGAACCGGACCUUCAGUUUGGACCUUCAGUCUGUUUCGAUCUUCAUGAAUAAAGUUUACUGUCUCUUCA